rnacentral:rRNA from 1 species
AGUGAACGCUGGCGGUAGGCCUAACACAUGCAAGUCGAGCGGCAGCACAGUAAGAGCUUGCUCUUACGGGUGGCGAGUGGCGGACGGGUGAGGAAUACAUCGGAAUCUACUUUUUCGUGGGGGAUAACGUAGGGAAACUUACGCUAAUACCGCAUACGACCUACGGGUGAAAGCAGGGGAUCUUCGGACCUUGCGCGACUGAAUGAGCCGAUGUCGGAUUAGCUAGUUGGCGGGGUAAAGGCCCACCAAGGCGACGAUCCGUAGCUGGUCUGAGAGGAUGAUCAGCCACACUGGAACUGAGACACGGUCCAGACUCCUACGGGAGGCAGCAGUGGGGAAUAUUGGACAAUGGGCGCAAGCCUGAUCCAGCCAUACCGCGUGGGUGAAGAAGGCCUUCGGGUUGUAAAGCCCUUUUGUUGGGAAAGAAAAGCAGCAGGUUAAUACCCCGCUGUUCUGACGGUACCCAAAGAAUAAGCACCGGCUAACUUCGUG